AGCAACGCGUGAGGAACCUGCCUCAAAGAGGGGGACAACAGUUGGAAACGACUGCUAAUACCGCAUAAGCCCACGGCUCGGCAUCGAGCAGAGGGAAAAGGAGCAAUCCGCUUUGAGAUGGCCUCGCGUCCGAUUAGCUAGUUGGUGAGGUAAUGGCCCACCAAGGCGACGAUCGGUAGCCGGACUGAGAGGUUGAACGGCCACAUUGGGACUGAGACACGGCCCAG
rnacentral:rRNA from 1 species